GACAAGAAGGCAUUUUCUUGUUUUUAAAAGACCUACCAAUAGGUAUGCUUAGGGAGGAGCUUGCGUCACAUUAGUUAGUUGGGGGGGUAAAGGCCUACCAAGACUAUGAUGUGUAGCCGGGCUGAGAGGUUGAACGGCCACAUUGGGACUGAGACACGGCCCAAAUUCCUACGGGAGGCAGCAGUAGGGAAUUUUCGGCAAUGGAGGAAACUCUGACCGAGCAACGCCGCGUGAACGAUGAAGUAUUUCGGUACGUAAAGUUCUUUUAUUAGGGAAGAAUAAAUGAUGGAAAAAUCAUUCUGACGGUACCUAAUGAAUAAGCCCCGGCUAACUAUGUGCCAGCAGCCGCGGUAAUACAUAGGGGGCAAGCGUUAUCCGGAAUUAUUGGGCGUAAAGGGUGCGUAGGCGGUUAAAUAAGUUUAUGGUCUAAGUGCAAUGCUCAACAUUGUGAUGCUAUAAAAACUGUUUAGCUAGAGUAAGAUAGAGGCAAGUGGAAUUCCAUGUGUAGUGGUAAAAUGCGUAAAUAUAUGGAGGAACACCAGUAGCGAAGGCGGCUUGCUGGGUCUUUACUGACGCUGAGGCACGAAAGCGUGGGGAGCAAACAGGAUUAGAUACCCUGGUAGUCCACGCCGUAAACGAUGAGUACUAAACGUUGGGUAAAACCAGUGUUGAAGUUAACACAUUAAGUACUCCGCCUGAGUAGUACGUACGCAAGUAUGAAACUUAAAGGAAUUGACGGGACUCCGCACAAGCGGUGGAUCAUGUUGUUUAAUUCGAAGGUACCCGAAAAACCUCACCAGGUCUUGACAUGCUUCUGCAAAGCUGUAGAAACACAGUGGAGGUUAUCAGUUGCACAGGUGGUGCAUGGUUGUCGUCAGCUCGUGUCGUGAGAUGUUGGGUUAAGUCCCGCAACGAGCGCAACCCUUAUUGUUAGUUACCAGCACGUAAUGGUGGGGACUUUAGCAAGACUGCCAGUGAUAAAUUGGAGGAAGGUGGGGACGACGUCAAAUCAUCAUGCCCCUUAUGACCUGGGCUACAAACGUGAUACAAUGGCUGUUACAAAGGGUAGCUGAAGCGCAAGUUUUUGGCGAAUCUCAAAAAAACAGUCUCAGUUCGGAUUGAAGUCUGCAACUCGACUUCAUGAAGUUGGAAUCGCUAGUAAUCGCGAAUCAGCAUGUCGCGG
rnacentral:rRNA from 1 species